GGGAGACCUGGAUCCCUCGCCCUGGCCCGGCUGGGUGCGCGCGGUGCGGGCGGCGUGGGCGGUGCGGGCAUUUCGGGGGCCCGCGCUGCAGGGGCAGCCCUGACCCAAGGUGGGGCUGCUGAACUCGGUGAGGUGGAUACUGUGACAGUUCAGAUUUUUGCCUUAAAAUGUAAUGCUUUUUGAUAAAGAUGCUUAUGUAUAACUUUUUUAAAAAGGUGUCACUAUCUCAGCAUUUAGAUAUAUUAAUUUGCGGGGUUUUUUUUCUGAGCCUGAAUCGAAUGACCUGGAUAGGUCACUUACUUGCAGAAUGCAUGUUAAAACCCCUAAAACACAAACAGACCUGCGUUAUCAUUCUGCUAAUCCCUCUUCCCGCAGCAAGAACUUGGGCCUCCCGGGGUUCCAGGACCUGCCUGACAUUACCUGUUUACUCCAGGCUCGGCAGGUGUCCUAAUCCUCAAGGCCAUCGCCGGCUCUAGCCCCCCUUUUUUUGAUGGUAGUAUUCUUUUAUCUAAGUUGCGUCUGUUAUUUUUUUCCCUCGAACUUAAACUAGAUCUCUCUCCCCACGCUUUGCUGUCUGUCUUCAUGUCCAGCGUUAGCCAGAGGAGCAUCUAAAAUCCAACUACAAGUUAAACUCCUCGAAAUUGGAAACCUUCUAACUUUAAAAAAUAAAAAUUUAAGUUUUAGCAGUAACAUAAAUAUGCAGUAGCCAGCCCCUCCCCCCACCUUUUUUCAACCCCUCUGCCAUCUGGAUAAAGAAAAAUUUACAAAGAGAAGUGAAGAAAUACCUGCUGUAGCUAAAUCAUGAAGUAUAUUUGACAAAGCACUGAAGGGUCAAAUUACCUGUCAAAUGGUGCUCUUGGUGACCACUUUAAAAUAAUAUUUACAUACACAUUUAUUUCUUUGUUUAUUUGUAUUUUCUUUUUGAUGUCACAACAUAAGAGAAAUUUUUGCACCAUUAAUAGGAAUUGAGCCAAAACUCUUAAUGUAGAGUUUAUCUUCCUCCUAGAAUUUAGACUUAAUUAGAUCUAUUAACAAGAUUACAGAAUAUCAAACCUAAAAGAGCGCUUUAACAUUUUUCUAAUUUUAUUUUACAGAUAGGGAAACAGAUUCUGUGAAUUAAGUGACUUGACAGAGAUGACAGCACUUCACAGCUCAGUUUCUGAAUUCCUGGUCUAUUAUUCUUUCUAGCAACCACAUUAUCUUUCUUAACCCACUGUUAACUCCCUCA
rnacentral:lncRNA from 1 species